CCUACGGGAGGCAGCAGUAGGGAAUCUUCCACAAUGGGCGAAAGCCUGAUGGAGCAACGCCGCGUGGGUGAAGAAGGUCUUCGGAUCGUAAAACUCUGUUGUUAGAGAAGAAAGUGCGUGAGAGUAACUGUUCACGUUUCGACGGUAUCUAACCAGAAAGCCACGGCUAACUACGUGCCAGCAGCCGCGGGAAUACGUAGGUGGCAAGCGUUAUCCGGAUUUAUUGGGCGUAAAGGGAACGCAGGCGGUCUUUUAAGUCUGAUGUGAAAGCCUUCGGCUUAACCGGAGUAGUGCAUUGGAAACUGGGAGACUUGAGUGCAGAAGAGGAGAGUGGAACUCCAUGUGUAGCGGUGAAAUGCGUAGAUAUAUGGAAGAACACCAGUGGCGAAAGCGGCUCUCUGGUCUGUAACUGACGCUGAGGUUCGAAAGCGUGGGUAGCAAACAGGAUUAGAUACCCCGGUAGUC
rnacentral:rRNA from 1 species